rnacentral:rRNA from 2 species
UUAAGCGACUAAGCGUACACGGUGGAUGCCCUGGCAGUCAGAGGCGAUGAAGGACGUGCUAAUCUGCGAUAAGCGUCGGUGAGGUGAUAUGAACCGUUAUAACCGGCGAUUUCCGAAUGGGGAAACCCAGUGUGUUUCGACACACUAUCAUUAACUGAAUCCAUAGGUUAAUGAGGCGAACCGGGGGAACUGAAACAUCUAAGUACCCCGAGGAAAAGAAAUCAACCGAGAUUCCCCCAGUAGCGGCGAGCGAACGGGGAGGAGCCCAGAGCCUGAAUCAGUGUGUGUGUUAGUGGAAGCGUCUGGAAAGGCGCGCGAUACAGGGUGACAGCCCCGUACACAAAAAUGCACAUAUUGUGAGCUCGAUGAGUAGGGCGGGACACGUGGUAUCCUGUCUGAAUAUGGGGGGACCAUCCUCCAAGGCUAAAUACUCCUGACUGACCGAUAGUGAACCAGUACCGUGAGGGAAAGGCGAAAAGAACCCCGGCGAGGGGAGUGAAAAAGAACCUGAAACCGUGUACGUACAAGCAGUGGGAGCCUCUUUAUGGGGUGACUGCGUACCUUUUGUAUAAUGGGUCAGCGACUUAUAUUCUGUAGCAAGGUUAACCGAAUAGGGGAGCCGAAGGGAAACCGAGUCUUAACUGGGCGUUAAGUUGCAGGGUAUAGACCCGAAACCCGGUGAUCUAGCCAUGGGCAGGUUGAAGGUUGGGUAACACUAACUGGAGGACCGAACCGACUAAUGUUGAAAAAUUAGCGGAUGACUUGUGGCUGGGGGUGAAAGGCCAAUCAAACCGGGAGAUAGCUGGUUCUCCCCGAAAGCUAUUUAGGUAGCGCCUCGUGAAUUCAUCUCCGGGGGUAGAGCACUGUUUCGGCAAGGGGGUCAUCCCGACUUACCAACCCGAUGCAAACUGCGAAUACCGGAGAAUGUUAUCACGGGAGACACACGGCGGGUGCUAACGUCCGUCGUGAAGAGGGAAACAACCCAGACCGCCAGCUAAGGUCCCAAAGUCAUGGUUAAGUGGGAAACGAUGUGGGAAGGCCCAGACAGCCAGGAUGUUGGCUUAGAAGCAGCCAUCAUUUAAAGAAAGCGUAAUAGCUCACUGGUCGAGUCGGCCUGCGCGGAAGAUGUAACGGGGCUAAACCAUGCACCGAAGCUGCGGCAGCGACACUAUGUGUUGUUGGGUAGGGGAGCGUUCUGUAAGCCUGUGAAGGUGGCCUGUGAGGGUUGCUGGAGGUAUCAGAAGUGCGAAUGCUGACAUAAGUAACGAUAAAGCGGGUGAAAAGCCCGCUCGCCGGAAGACCAAGGGUUCCUGUCCAACGUUAAUCGGGGCAGGGUGAGUCGACCCCUAAGGCGAGGCCGAAAGGCGUAGUCGAUGGGAAACAGGUUAAUAUUCCUGUACUUGGUGUUACUGCGAAGGGGGGACGGAGAAGGCUAUGUUGGCCGGGCGACGGUUGUCCCGGUUUAAGCGUGUAGGCUGGUUUUCCAGGCAAAUCCGGAAAACCAAGGCUGAGGCGUGAUGACGAGGCACUACGGUGCUGAAGCGACAAAUGCCCUGCUUCCAGGAAAAGCCUCUAAGCAUCAGGUAACAUCAAAUCGUACCCCAAACCGACACAGGUGGUCAGGUAGAGAAUACCAAGGCGCUUGAGAGAACUCGGGUGAAGGAACUAGGCAAAAUGGUGCCGUAACUUCGGGAGAAGGCACGCUGAUAUGUAGGUGAAGCGACUUGCUCGUGGAGCUGAAAUCAGUCGAAGAUACCAGCUGGCUGCAACUGUUUAUUAAAAACACAGCACUGUGCAAACACGAAAGUGGACGUAUACGGUGUGACGCCUGCCCGGUGCCGGAAGGUUAAUUGAUGGGGUUAGCGGUAACGCGAAGCUCUUGAUCGAAGCCCCGGUAAACGGCGGCCGUAACUAUAACGGUCCUAAGGUAGCGAAAUUCCUUGUCGGGUAAGUUCCGACCUGCACGAAUGGCGUAAUGAUGGCCAGGCUGUCUCCACCCGAGACUCAGUGAAAUUGAACUCGCUGUGAAGAUGCAGUGUACCCGCGGCAAGACGGAAAGACCCCGUGAACCUUUACUAUAGCUUGACACUGAACAUUGAGCCUUGAUGUGUAGGAUAGGUGGGAGGCUUUGAAGUGUGGACGCCAGUCUGCAUGGAGCCGACCUUGAAAUACCACCCUUUAAUGUUUGAUGUUCUAACGUUGGCCCGUAAUCCGGGUUGCGGACAGUGUCUGGUGGGUAGUUUGACUGGGGCGGUCUCCUCCUAAAGAGUAACGGAGGAGCACGAAGGUUGGCUAAUCCUGGUCGGACAUCAGGAGGUUAGUGCAAUGGCAUAAGCCAGCUUGACUGCGAGCGUGACGGCGCGAGCAGGUGCGAAAGCAGGUCAUAGUGAUCCGGUGGUUCUGAAUGGAAGGGCCAUCGCUCAACGGAUAAAAGGUACUCCGGGGAUAACAGGCUGAUACCGCCCAAGAGUUCAUAUCGACGGCGGUGUUUGGCACCUCGAUGUCGGCUCAUCACAUCCUGGGGCUGAAGUAGGUCCCAAGGGUAUGGCUGUUCGCCAUUUAAAGUGGUACGCGAGCUGGGUUUAGAACGUCGUGAGACAGUUCGGUCCCUAUCUGCCGUGGGCGCUGGAGAACUGAGGGGGGCUGCUCCUAGUACGAGAGGACCGGAGUGGACGCAUCACUGGUGUUCGGGUUGUCAUGCCAAUGGCACUGCCCGGUAGCUAAAUGCGGAAGAGAUAAGUGCUGAAAGCAUCUAAGCACGAAACUUGCCCCGAGAUGAGUUCUCCCUGACUCUUAGAGUCUCCUGAAGGAACGUUGAAGACGACGACGUUGAUAGGCCGGGUGUGUAAGCGCAGCGAUGCGUUGAGCUAACCGGUACUAAUGAACCGUGAGGCUUAACCUU